rnacentral:lncRNA from 10 species
UAAAAAUACAAAAAUUACCUGGGCGUGAUGGCGGACGCCUGUAAUCCCAGCUACUUGGGAGACUGAGGCAGGGAAUUGCUUGAACCCAGGAGGAGGAGGUUGCAGUGAGCCAAGAUUAUUUCACUGCACUCCAGCCUGGGCGACAGAGUAAGACUCCAUUUCAAAAACAAAACAAAAAAAUUUAAUAAAUUAGCCAGGUGUGGUAACAAACUCCUGUAAUCAUUCCAGCUACUUAGGAGGCUGAGGCAGAGAAUAUCUUGAACUCGGGAGGCGGAGGUUGCAGUGAGCCCAGAUCUCGCCCACUGCACUCCAGCCUGGGUGACAGGGAGAGAUUCCAUCUCAAAAAAAAAAAAAAAAAAAGUCCAUUUCCAAUUAGAGAUAGGAAUAAAAAUAAUAUUUUUCUACUUUUUAAUCACACACUUUUUUGUUUGUUUUGAGACGGAGUCUCGCUCUGUUGCCCAGGCUGGAGCACAGUGGUGCCAUCUCGGCUCACCGCAACCUCCGCCUCCCGGGUUCAAGGGAUUCUCCCUCAGCCUCCCAAGUAGCUGGGAUUACAGGCUCACGCCACCACACCUGGCUAAAUUUUGUAUUUGUGUUGGUCAGCCUGGUGGUCUCCAACUGCUAGGGUCAGGUGAUCCACCCGCCUCAGCCUCCCAAAGUGCUGGGAUUACAGGCAUAAGCCACCGUGCCGGGCCUUUUUUAUGAUGCUGUAGUUUGUCCCCGCACAAACUCAUGUUGAAAUUUGAUCCCCAGUUGGAGGUGGGGUCUAAUGGGAGGUGUUUGGGUCUUGGGAGCAAAUUCCUCUUUUUUUCGUUUAUUUUUUUUUCUUUUAUUUAUUUAGUUUUCCAGAUCCCUCUUGACUAGAUUAACACCCUGGAUGAGGGUGGGUGAGUGAGUUCUCGCCGUUACUGGUUCCCACGAGAGCUGGCUGCGGAAAACAGCCUGGGUGCCUCCCCGCCGCUCUUUCUUGCUUUCUCUUUUGCCAGGCAGUCUGUGCGCAUGCUGGCUCCCCUUCACCUUCCCCCAUGAGUGGAAGUAGCCUCAGGCCCUCACUAGAAGCUGAGCAGAGACUGGUGCCAUGCUUCUUGUACAACCUGCAGAACUAGAUGGGGUCUCCCCAUGUUGCCCAGGACGGACUCAAACUCCAGAGCUCAAGUGAUCCACCUACCUUGGCCUUCCAAAGUGCUGGGAUUACAGGCGUGAGCCCCUGCUCCUGGGCUUGGACUGGACUAUUAAUUAUGGAAAGUUAAUGGGAAAUGAAAAAAAAAGAAAAAAGAAAAGAAGUAAAGAAAGAGAAGUCCAGUCCUGUUUAUAACUCCCGAGUAAACCCUCCCGCAGCAUUGGCCAGGAUUGUGGCGUGGGCAUGGGCGGGGGUGUGCUUGCUCUGCCCUUCCAUUUUCUCCCUAUUCCAUCUUAGCGCAUGUGUGUGGGGAGGGUUAGGAGGGAGCCCUGGGAUCCACCAUAGGGACUCCUGCGCUUCUGUACUCCAGUUUCUCUGAUGUGUUAGGAUACCCAGGCGGGAGAGUCUUUUUUCUAACUUGAAGGUUAUUUUCUUCUUGGAUGUUGUGAUGGCUAAUUUCAUGUGUCAACUUGGCCAGGCUGUGGGACUCAGUUGUUCGGUCAGACAUCAGUCUAGAUGUCAGAGGCACGUGAACCAGAUCAACUCCAUCUUGAAUAGGAGCUGGGUAAAAUGAGGCUGAGACCUACUGGGCUGCAUUCCCAGAUGGUUAAGGCAUUCUAAGUCACAGGAUGAGACAGGAGGUUGGCACAAAAUACAGGUCAUAAAGACCUUGCUGAUAAAACGGGUUGCAGUAAAGAAGCCGGCCCAAACCCAUCAAAAUCAAGAUGGCCAAGAGAGUGACCUCUGGUUGUCCUCACUGCACCAUGAUGGUUUACAAAUGCCAUGGCAAUGUCAGGAAGUUACCAAAUAUGGUCUAGAAAGGGGAGGCAUGAAUCAUCCACCCCUUGUUUAGCAUAUCAAGAAAUAACCAUAAAAAUGGGCAACCAGCAGCUGUUGGGGCUGCUCUGUCUAUGGAGUAGCCAUUCUUUGUAUUUAUUUAUUGAUUGAUUGAUUAUGAGCCGGUUUUGCUCUUGUUGCCCAGGAUGGAGUGCAACGGUGCGAUCUCGGCUUACGGCGACCUCUGCCUCCCGGUUUCAAGCGGUUCUCCUGCCUCAGCCUCCGGAGUAGCUGGGAUUACAGGAAUGUGCCACCACGCCCAGCUAAUUUUGUAUUUUUAGUAGAGACAAGGUUUCUGCAUGUUGGUCAGGCUGGUCUCAAACUCCCGACCUCAGGUGAUCUGCCCACCUUGGCCUCUCAAAGUGCUGGGAUUACAGGCGUGAGCCACUGCGCCCAGCCAAUUCUUUAUUCCUUUUCUUUCCUAAUAACUUGCUUUCACUUUACUCUAUGGACUCGCCCUGAAUUUCUUGCGUGAGAUCCAAAAACCUUCUCUUGGAGUCUGGAUCUAGACCCCCUUUCCUGUAACAUAGAUGUUGCUGUGAAGGGUUUUUUUGUUUUGUUUCAUUUUGUGACAGUGUCUCACUCUGUCGCCUAGGCUGGAGUACAGUGGCACAAUCUGGACUCACUGCAACCUCAAGUGAUCACUGCUCAAACUCUAGUGAUCCUUCCCCCUCAGCCUUCUGAGUAGCUGAGACUACAGGCACGCACCACCACGCCCGGCUAAUUUUUUUGUAUUUUUAGUAGAGAUGAGGUUUCACCUUGUUUCCCAGACAGGUCUCAAAUUCUUGAGUUCAAAUGAUCUGCCCACCUUGGCCCCCCAAAGUGCUGGGAUUACAGACAUGAGCCACCAUGCAUGGCCAACAACAUUCUGCUCUUGUGACUCCCUUCCCAUCUCCCCAGCCCAGUCUUUUCAGGUAGGGGUUGGGAAUUGACAAGAUGGGAGGGCAUGGACCAGGAUGAUGCCCCAGUGGUGGUAUUUCUCUUUAGAAUGUGGGGUACUUAAUGCCCCCUUUUUCCUCAGCUGAAGGCCUCAGUUGCAGAGCAAGGGGAAAACUCAACUCAACAUCUGUACAAGUUUCCAGGAUGCUACUAGGCAUCCCUUGAACAGAUAGUUCCAAAUCCAAAUGUAUUUGGAAACAACUAAAUGAAAUAAAUGCUUUUCUUUGAUGCAGGGCUUCUCUAAAAUGCAAAUUUGCUGAUGUGAAGGGUAAACUCAUGUGAGAGGAAAUGGUUCACUGGCAUUCUUUGACUCUGGAGCACAGUUUUGAGACAAGUAAUACGAAUGCCCAAAAAUGUGUCGUGGAAUACAGGUUGAAAAAUGUUGAGUUAGAAAGACAGCUGGGACCCUGGUUCUAUUCCUUGCCACCUUCCAGCUGCACAGCCUCUCUGGGAUUUGGGACUAUGAAAUGGGGCUAAAACUUAACUUCCUGAGCUUUUGUGAGCAUCUCAGAUAAUACUCAUAAAACAUCUACUCUAGAUAUUCCAUAAAUGAUAGCUAUUCAUUGAAAAAAUCUGAGGUUCAUAGACAUAGAAUCAAACCCUUACUCGUGGCACUGUCAGUAAGUACAUUUCCCCAGUGGCUUUUUUUUUUUAGUUAUUAUUAUUAUUUUUUUGGAGACAAGGUCUCAUUCUGAUGCCUGGGUUAGAGUGCAGUGGUUCAAUCAUGGCUCACUGCAGCCUCAGCCUUUCAGGCUCAGGUGAUCCUCCCACCUCAACCUCCGAGUCGUUGGGACUACAGGCUCGUGCCACCAUGCCUGGCUAAUUUUUGUAUUUUUGUAGAGAUGGGGUCUCCCUAUGUUGCCAGGCUGGUCUCAGGUGAUCUGCCUGCCUUGGCCUCCCAAAGUGUUGGGAUUACAGGUGUGAGCCACUGUGCCUGACCUAUAAUUUUCAAGAAUACAAUAUAUUAGCUGAGCGCAGUGGCUCGUGCCUGUAAUUCCAACACUUUGGGAGGCUGAGGCAGAAGGAUUGCCUGAGCCCAGGAAUUCAAGACUAGCCUGGGCAACAUGGGGAGACCCUGUCUUUACAAAUUUAUUUAUUUAUUUAUUUUUUGAGAUGGAGUCUCACCCUGUCGCCCAGGCUGGAGUGCAAUGGCAUGAUCUCAGCUCACUGCAACCUCCACCUCCCAGGCUCAAGCGAUUCUCCUGCCUCAGCCUCCCGAGUUGCUGGGAUUACAGGCAUGCGCCACCACGCCCAGCUAAUUUUUUUUAUCUUUAGUAGAGACGGGGUUUCACCAUGUUGGCCAGGCUGGUCUCAAACUCCUGACCUCGUGAUCCACCCAUCUUGGCCUCCCAAAGUGUUGGGAUUACAGGUGUGAGCCACCAUGCCCGGCCUACAAAAAUUUAAAAAAUAAAUUAGUCAGGCAUGGUGGCAUGUGCCUGUGGUCCCAGCCACUUGGAAGGCUGAGGUGGGAGGAUGACUUGAGCCCAGGAGGUCGAGGCGGCAGUGAGCAGUAAUCAUGCUACUGCACUCCAACCUGGGUGACAGAGCAAGACACUGUCUCAACUAAUAAUAAUAAUAAAAAUAAUACAAUAUAUUGUUAUUAGCCAUUGUCACCAUGUUAUAUAAUAGAUCUCUUAAACUUGUUCUUCCUGUUUAGCUGAAAGUUUGCAUCCUUGUAGUAACAUCUCCCCAUCCCUCCCCGACAAAAAGUUUAUUAUUAUUAUUUUGAGACGGGGUCUCCCUUUGUUGCCCAGGCUGGAGUGCGGUGGCGUGAUCUCAGUUCACAGCAACCUUCAUCUCCUGGGUUAAAGCAAUUAUCCUGCUGCAGCCUCCUGAGUAGCUGGGAUUACAGGCAUGCACCACCACACCCGGCUAAUUUUUUUUGUACUUUUAGUAGAGACGGGGUUUCACCCCAUUGGUCAGGCUGGUCUUGACCUCAGGUAAUCCACCUGCCUCGGCUUCCCAAAGUGCUGAGAUUACAGGCGUGAGCCACCCUGCCCAGCCCAAAAAACGUUUAUUUAAAAAAAAUUUUUUUUUUUUUGAGAUGGAGUUUUGCUCUUGUUGCCCAGGCUGGAGUGCAACGAUGCAAUCUCUGCUCACUGCAACCUCCGUCUCCCGGGUUCAAGUGAUUCUCCUGCCUCAGCCUCCCAAGUAGCUGGGAUUACAGGUGCCCGCCACCACGCCUGGCUAAUUUUGUAUUUUUAGUAGAGACGGGGUUUCUUCAUGUUUGUCAGGUUGGUCUCAAACUCCUGACCUCAGGUGAUCCGCCCGCCUCAGCCUCCCAAAGUGCUGGGAUCACAGGCGUGAGCCACCGCUCUUGGCCAAAAAAAAGUUUAUUUUUUCAAAAAGGCUUUGCUUUGGCCAGCCAUGGUGGCUCACAUCUGUAAUCCCAGCACUUUGGGAGGCUGAGACAGGCGGAUCACUUGAGGUCAGGAGUUCGAGACCAACUCGGCCAACAUAGUUAAAACUCUGUCUCUAUUAAAUAUACAAAACUUAGCUGGGCUUGGUGGCGGGCACCUGUAAUCUCAGCUACUUGGGAGGCUGAGGCAGGAGAAUUGCUUGAAUCCAGGAGGUAAAGGUCACAGUGAGCCAAAAUCACACUACUGCACUCCAGCCUGGGGGACACACUCUUGUUUUUUUUUGUUUUUUUUUUUUAAAAAAAGGCCGGGCGCAGUGGCUCAUGCCUGUAAUCCCAACACUUUAGGAGGCCAAGGUGGGUGGAUCACUUGAGGUCAGGAGUUUGAGACCAGCCUGACCAACAUGGUGAAACUCCGUCUCUACUAAAAGUAUUAAAAAUUAGCCAGGUGUUUUGGCGGGUGCCUGUAAUCCCAGCUACUUGGGAGGCUGAGGCAGGAGAAUCACUGAACCGGGGAGGCAGAGGUUGCAGUGAGCCAAGAUCAUGCUGUUGUACUCCAGCCUGAGCAACAAGAGCGAGACUCUGUUUCAAGAAAAAAAAAAAAAGGCUUUGCUUUUAGUUGAAGAUACUACAUGGCAAGCAGUUCUUUAUACUUGAUAGAUGAUUAUAGAGCAAAGAAAAGUUUUCAUUGGCUCCUGCUGGAAAAUGGCAAACAUUGCAAAAUAGGACUGCAGGCUUCCCGAAAGAUUUCUUUUUUGACUUGUUUUUUUUUUGAGAAGGUCUCACUCCAUGCCCAGGCUGGAGUGCAGUGGUGAGAUCACAGCUCACUGCAGCCUCAACCUCCUGGGGCUCAGGUGAUCCCUCCAGCCCCAGGCCCUCUGAGCAGCUAGGGACUACAGGUGCGCACUACCACACCAGGCUAAGUUUUUGUAUUCUUUGUGGAGACGGGGUCUCCACAUGUUGUCCUGGCUGGCCUUGAACUCCUGGUCUCAAGUGAUGUGCUCACCUCGGCCUCCCAAAAUGCUGGGGAUUACAGGCAUGAGCACCGCGCCCAGCCCCAGAAACUUUAAAAUCACUUCUGUUAUCCAGAAAACAAUUUGGUAUCAGCAUCCUCCAGAAAUCAGUGCGAGGAUUGGUGCAGCAUAAAAUGAAAAUAACCUAGGUAAAUUCUCGAUAAAUUCUAAAAAUGAACUUUCAAUUAACUUUCUUGUUUCUUAAGCUCAGAAUUGAGUUCUAUGCUAAUGCAAGUAUCAAAUUUACAUGUAUAUCUGAAAAUUUGCACAUAGGCCAAUUUCUGUUUGGACAUUAACAAAUAUUGCCGUAACACUUAAAACCCAACAAAUAGCUCUUCCAUUCCCACUAGUUGAAAGGCACCGCAGAACACUGUGGUGCUGCGGAAAGAUGACAGACCCUGCCUUAAGGAAUUUACAGAGUAUACUGAGCAAAGUAGGGCAGCGUUACUGCCCUACUAUGGAGUACAAUAGAUAUCUUUGGAGAGGAGCAGAUGCAGGCAGGGCUGUGCAGAGGGGCAGGAGCCUCUGAGUGUGUGUAUGUCUGUGUGUGUGUCUGCACGUAGAAGAGUUAGGAAUGAAGACUGGAGAUCAAGGGAAUUGUCCAGGAGGAGAUGGUAUUUAAGUUGGAUCUUAAAGUGAUUGCCUAUGUGGCUCUUUAAAUUUAGAUUUAUUGGGCCGGGCGUGGUGGCUCACACCUGUAAUCCCAGCACUUUGGGAGGCCAAGGUGGGCGGAUCACUUGAGGUCAGGAGUUUCAGACCAGCCUGACCAACGUGGAGAAACCCCGUCUCUACUAAAAAUACAAAAUUAGCUGGGCGUGGUGGCACAUACCCGUAAUCCCAGCUACUCGGGAGGCUGAGGCAGGAGAAUCUCUUAAAUCCAGGAGGCAGAGGUUGUGGUGAGCCGAGAUCACAUGAUUGCACUCCAGCCUGAGCGACAAAGUGAGAUUCCAUCUCAAAAAAAAAAAAAAAAAAAAUUUAGUCUGGGCGCAGUGGCUCAUGCCUGUAAUCCCAGCACUUUGGAAGGCCAAGGUGGGCGGGUCACGAGGUCAGGAGAUCGAGACCACCCUGGGUAACACGGUGAAACCCUGUAUCUACUAAAACUACAAAAAAUUAGCCAGGCGUGCUGGGCGCAGUGGCUCAUGCCUGUAAUCCCAGCACUUUGGGAGGCUGAGGUGGGCGGAUCACCUGAGGUCAGGAGUUGAAGACCAGCCUGACCAACAUGGUGAAACUCCACCUUUACUAAAAAUACAAAAUUAGCCGGGUGUGGUGGUGCAUGCCUGUAAUCCCAGCUCCUCGGGAGCCUGUGGCAGGAGAUUCGCUUGAACCCGCGAGGCAGAGGUUGCAGUGACGCACCAUUGCACUCCACCCUGGGCAACAAGAACGAAACUCCACUUUAAAAAAAAAGGAAAAAAAAAAAUUAGCUGGGCGUGGUGGCAGGUGCCUGUAGUCCCAGCUACUCAGGAG